UGAGAGUUGGGAAGUUUUCUGGGUAG
rnacentral:piRNA from 1 species